rnacentral:rRNA from 1 species
UGGCUCAGAUUGAACGCUGGCGGCAUGCCUUACACAUGCAAGUCGAACGGUAACAGGUCUUCGGAUGCUGACGAGUGGCGAACGGGUGAGUAAUACAUCGGAACGUGCCCGAUCGUGGGGGAUAACGGAGCGAAAGCUUUGCUAAUACCGCAUACGAUCUACGGAUGAAAGCAGGGGACCGCAAGGCCUUGCGCGGACGGAGCGGCCGAUGGCAGAUUAGGUAGUUGGUGGGAUAAAAGCUUACCAAGCCGACGAUCUGUAGCUGGUCUGAGAGGACGACCAGCCACACUGGGACUGAGACACGGCCCAGACUCCUACGGGAGGCAGCAGUGGGGAAUUUUGGACAAUGGGCGAAAGCCUGAUCCAGCCAUGCCGCGUGCAGGAUGAAGGCCUUCGGGUUGUAAACUGCUUUUGUACGGAACGAAAAGACUCCUUCUAAUAAAGGGG